rnacentral:rRNA from 1 species
CGUCGACCCCUAAUCGGGGUUGCGGACAGUGCCUGGUGGGUAGUUUGACUGGGGCGGUCUCCUCCCAAAGAGUAACGGAGGAGCACGAAGGUGGGCUAAUCACGGUUGGACAUCGUGAGGUUAGUGCAAUGGCAUAAGCCCGCUUGACUGCGAGAAUGACAAUUCGAGCAGGUGCGAAAGCAGGUCAUAGUGAUCCGGUGGUUCUGAAUGGAAGGGCCAUCGCUCAACGGAUAAAAGGUACUCCGGGGAUAACAGGCUGAUACCGCCCAAGAGUUCAUAUCGACGGCGGUGUUUGGCACCUCGAUGUCGGCUCAUCACAUCCUGGGGCUGAAGUCGGUCCCAAGGGUAUGGCUGUUCGCCAUUUAAAGUGGUACGCGAGCUGGGUUUAGAACGUCGUGAGACAGUUCGGUCCCUAUCUGCCGUGGGCGUUGGAAGAUUGAAGGGGGCUGCUCCUAGUACGAGAGGACCGGAGUGGACGAACCUCUGGUGUUCGGGUUGUGUCGCCAGACGCAUUGCCCGGUAGCUAAGUUCGGAAUCGAUAACCGCUGAAAGCAUCUAAGCGGGAAGCGAGCCCUGAGAUGAGUCUUCCCUGAUACUUUAAGUAUCCUAAAGGGUUGUCGGAGACUACGACGUUGAUAGGUCAGGUGUGUAAGUGCUGUGAGGCAUUGAGCUAACUGAUACUAAUUGCCCGUGAGGCUUAACCAU